rnacentral:tRNA from 1 species
CGGGGUGUGGCGCAGUUGGCUAGCGUAUUUGCAUGGGGUGCAAAGGGUCGACCGUUCGAGUCGGUUCACCCCGACUA